rnacentral:rRNA from 1 species
AACGGCCGUACCAUGCUGAAUAUACCGGUUCUCGUUAGAUCACCGAAGUCAAGCAUCAUUGGGCGCGGUCAGUACUUGGGUGGGAGACCACCUGGGAACACUGCGUGCCGUU